rnacentral:lncRNA from 1 species
GACCCCAUUGGGAUGGAGGUGGGACCCCCAGCUGGGAUGGAGGUGAGACCCCAUUGGGAUGGAGGUGGGACCCCAUUGGGAUGGAGGUGGGACCCCCAUUGGGAUGAAAGUGGGACCCCCAUUGGGAUGGAGGUGGGAUCCCAUUGGGAUGGAGGUGGGACCCCCAGUUGGGAUGAAAGUGGGACCCCCAGUUGGGAUGGAGAUGGGGCCCCCUGGGUGGGACCCCUUCAUUGGGGUAGAGGUGGGACCCCAUUGGGAUGGGGACUGGGACCCCCCCGGUGGGACCCCUCCUUUGGGGUGGAGAUGGGACCCCCGCCCACCUCCACCAGUUUGUAGAGGAAGGAGAAGACCAUGGAGGCGUUGGCGUUCUUCUUGGUGACAGCCACCACUGCGUGCGGGGUCAAGGA